rnacentral:rRNA from 1 species
UAGCUACAGGCUUAACACAUGCAAGUCGAGGGGCAGCAUGGUCUUAGCUUGCUAAGGCCGAUGGCGACCGGCGCACGGGUGAGUAACACGUAUCCAACCUGCCGUCUACUCUUGGACAGCCUUCUGAAAGGAAGAUUAAUACAAGAUGGCAUCAUGAGUCCGCAUGUUCACAUGAUUAAAGGUAUUCCGGUAGACGAUGGGGAUGCGUUCCAUUAGAUAGUAGGCGGGGUAACGGCCCACCUAGUCUUCGAUGGAUAGGGGUUCUGAGGGGAAGGUCCCCCACAUUGGAACUGAGACACGGUCCAAACUCCUAUGGGAGGCAGCAGUGAGGAAUAUUGGUCAAUGGGCGAGAGCCUGAACCAGCCAAGUAGCGUGAAGGAUGACUGCCCUAUGGGUUGUAAACUUCUUUUAUAAAGGAAUAAAGUCGGGUAUGCAUACCCGUUUGCAUGUACUUUAUGAAUAAGGAUCGGCUAACUCCGUGCCAGCAGCCGCGGUAAUACGGAGGAUCCGAGCGUUAUCCGGAUCUAUUGGGUUUAAAGGGAGCGUAGAUGGAUGUUUAAGUCAGUUGUGAAAGUUUGCGGCUCAACCGUAAAAUUGCAGUUGAUACUGGAUAUCUUGAGUGCAGUUGAGGCAGGCGGAAUUCGUGGUGUAGCGGUGAAAUGCUUAGAUAUCACGAAGAACUCCGAUUGCGAAGGCAGCCUGCUAAGCUGCAACUGACAUUGAGGCUCGAAAGUGUGGGUAUCAAACAGGAUUAGAUACCCUGGUAGUCCACACGGUAAACGAUGAAUACUCGCUGUUUGCGAUAUACGGCAAGCGGCCAAGCGAAAGCGUUAAGUAUUCCACCUGGGGAGUACGCCGGCAACGGUGAAACUCAAAGGAAUUGACGGGGGCCCGCACAAGCGGAGGAACAUGUGGUUUAAUUCGAUGAUACGCGAGGAACCUUACCCGGGCUUAAAUUGCAGAUGAAUUACGGUGAAAGCCGUAAGCCGCAAGGCAUCUGUGAAGGUGCUGCAUGGUUGUCGUCAGCUCGUGCCGUGAGGUGUCGGCUUAAGUGCCAUAACGAGCGCAACCCUUGUUGUCAGUUACUAACAGGUUCCGCUGAGGACUCUGACAAGACUGCCAUCGUAAGAUGUGAGGAAGGUGGGGAUGACGUCAAAUCAGCACGGCCCUUACGUCCGGGGCUACACACGUGUUACAAUGGGGGGUACAGAGGGCCGCUACCACGCGAGUGGAUGCCAAUCCCCAAAACCUCUCUCAGUUCGGACUGGAGUCUGCAACCCGACUCCACGAAGCUGGAUUCGCUAGUAAUCGCGCAUCAGCCACGGCGCGGUGAAUACGUUCCCGGGCCUUGUACACACCGCCCGUCAAGCCAUGGGAGCCGGGGGUACCUGAAGUGCGUAACCGCGAGGAGCGCCCUAGGGUAAAACUGGUGACUGGGGCU